UGGCCUCCCAAAGUGCUAGGAUUACAGGUAUGAGCCACCACGCCCAGCCUCCUGCACCUAUCUUUGUCCAGAUGCACAUAACUGUUAUCCUCUGCCUGUCCAGUAAUGUAUAUUAGGAUUGUGUUGGUAGAAGGGCUGAGGCAGGGCUUGCUUGUCUGACAUAAUGUAGAAGAGUCUUGGAACAUGUCCUGGGUCUAGGGUCUAAAACCCCUUGUGGCCUACGGAACACCAAGCUCUGUGCCAAAGGAUGGAAGGCUGCCCUGCUGCACUACAAUCUAAGCCCAGUGCAUAAAACCCCUUGUGGCUUGGAGAGCACCCAGGGCUCAGGGCAUAAGGCCCCUCAUAGCUUCUGGAAUGUGUCCAGACUCGCUGGCCCCUUGCUUCUUGCUCUCCCAAGAUCAUAAAUUAGUUGUAUCUUGAAUUAGAAGAAUCUGUUCUCCCUUAUCUCAAGUAGCAGAGCAUAUGCUAAAACAUCACAGCUACGCUUGAUGCACCGCUACCUUUCUACCCCCAUGUACUCACAUCCUCACCUGUCUACACCCACAUCUGCAUGUCCUCACCACCUGCUUCUUUGUUCGAUUAUCAAUAAAUAGUGUGGGCUUCCAGAGCUCACAGCCUUCGCAUCCUCCAUACUGGCAUUGGUCCCCUGGACCCACACUGUGUACUCUUAACUUGUCUUGUCUCAUUCCUUUGAUUCCGCCAGACUUCAUAACCUCCAUGACCUGGUGUUGGGUCUGAUCACCCCAACAUUUCUGGUGUGCCAAUGUGGGGCUAUGAAGACUCUGGUGAGGGAACGCUAGAGCAUGUGAAAGCAGGGGAUCCAUCGUCAGAGGACACCUGAGGACAACUGAAAGAAGCUUGGCGGGUAAGCUAGGUGCUCGGAAGAAUCAGGGUAACAAUGGGACAGAAUGAAAGCAAACAUUCUGCUUAUUUAAACUUUCUAAGGCACUUAUUAUGGAGAUGGGGAGCAAAAGUUAAUACUCAGAAUUUAUUAAAACUCUUUAGUACAGUAGAGCAGUUUUGCCCAUGGUUCCCAGAACAAGGGACUAUGGAGUUGGAUGAACGGGAAAGAAUUGGCAGAGAUUUUUAAAAGGCGUAUAAAGAAGGAGCCAAAAUUCCAGUUUCUGUUUGGUCGGUGUGGGCAUUGAUAAAGGCAGCUCCUGAGCCAUUUCAAACAGAUGAUUAGGCAGAUUCAGAUGAGGAAGAGGAAGAUGAGUGUAAAAAAAAACUAACUUCGGAUUCUGAAUGCAAGGAGCAAAAAUCGGAGAAAAUUAAAGAAAAGGGAAACUGAAAAAGGUAUGUUUUACUAGCCCGUUGGCUGUGCCUGCUGAAUUAAGUGAAUGGCCACCUCCUCCCCUUCCCCGUAAUGGGCGAGAAAAUGAAUUAGCUGUAAAACUAACUGCUCCUGUAGUUGCAACAUUAAAACCUGGAGUGAUUGUUGGUGCUAUACAAAAUUCUAUUCAAAAAGCUAGAGCUGAGGGAGACCCAGAAGCAUGGCAAUUUCUAGUUACUAUAACCUAGCAAGGAGGGCAAAAUAUAGCUAAUUGGGCCACUUUUCUUUUAAGCUAUUAAAGGAAUUUAAGCAAGCCGUUAGUCAAUAUGGGCCAAAUUCUCCUUUUGUACAAACGUUACUAAAAAAUAUGGCUCUUGAUAAUAGAUUAAUACCAUAUGACUGGGAUACUUUAACAACAUCUGUUCUCACUCCGUCUCACUACUUACAGUUUAAAACCUGGUGGGUUGAUAAAGCACAAACUCAGGCAAAGGAAAACACACCAGCACAGCCUCCUGUGCCUAUUUCUUUUGAACAGUUAAUGGGGGUCGGCCCUAAUUGGGAAUGAUUAGAAAAUCAGGCAGUGAUGGAGGAUGUUGGCAUUGCUCAGCUGUGCACCGUGUGCUUACGGGUGUGGGAGAGAAUAAAUGUUAUAGGAGAAAAAUAUCCUUCUUUCAGUUCUGUCCGACAAGGACCUAAAGAACCAUAUGCUGAUUUUAUUGCUUGGCUCCAGGAGGUUGUGCAUAAAGCUAUAACCGACAAAACAGCUCAGGAUGUUGUAAUACAGCCUCUUGCAUAUGAUGAUGCUAAUACAGAGUGUCAAAAUGCUAUUAGACCUGUGAGAGGGAAGGCUCAUUUGGCUGAAUAUAUUAAGGCUUGUGAUGGCAUUGGAGGUAACUUACAUAAGGCUACUCUUUUAGCUCAAGCUAUGGCUGGACUAAAGGUGGGGAGAAAUAUGCCCCAUUUCUCAGGCUCUUGUUUUAAUUGUGGGCAAUUUGGACACACAAAAAAGGAAUGUGGAAAAGGAAAUCAAAAGACAAAAACUAUUACCAUCAAUCAACAGAAAAGUCCCCACGUAUGCCCCCAAUGUAAGAAGGGCAAUCACUGGGCAAAUCAGUGUCAUUCUAAAUUUAGCAAAGAUGGGCAACCCCUUUCAGGAAACAGGAAGAGGAGACCACCUCGGGCCCCUCAACAAACUGAGGUGUAUCCGGCACAGUCAGUGCCCUUACAAACGUACAACAAUUGUCCCCCACCACAGCAGGCAGUGCUGCCGUAGAUCUCUGCAGCACAAUUUCUGUCUCUUUACUUCCUGGGGAGCCAUCAAAGAAGGUGCCCAUGGAAGUUCGGGGCCCUUUACCCUCAGGAACAGUUGGUCUAUUGCUUGGAAGGUCUAGCUUAAAUUUAAAAGGUGUCACUGUACCUGCAGGAGUAAUUGAUUCUGAUUAUGCCAGAGAGAUUCAACUAGCUAUUGGUUCCUCAACUCCAUGGUCUGCUUCCCCAGGAGAAAGAAUUGCUCAGUUGUUGCUGUUACCUUAUACAAAACUGGGAAGCAGCAGAGUAAAAAGAACAGGAGGAUUUGGUAGUACUAACCCAGCAGGAAAAGCUGUAUAUUGGGUUAAUCAAGUGUCUGAUAAGAGACCUAUUUAUACAGUAACCUUUCAGGGAAAGGACUUUGAAGGGCUAGUAGAUACUGGAGCUGAUGUUUCUAUUAUUGCUUUAAAUCAAUGGCCCCGACACUGGCCCAAACAAAAGGCAUCCGUUGGUAUUGUUGGAGUAGGGGCUGCUUCAGAAGUUUUUCAGAGUUCUUUAAUUUUACCAUGUCAAGGUUCGGAUGGCCAGGAAGGGAUAAUUCAACCUAUUAUUACACCUAUUCCUGUCAAUCUAUGGGGUAGAGACUUAUUGCAACAAUGGGGUGCUGAAAUAUCUAUUCCUAUGGACCAGUGUAGUAAUAACAGUAAACAAAUAAGAAAAAUGGGAUAUCUCCCAGGUAAGGGACUAGGAAAAAAUGAAAAUGGCCAACCAGAACCUUUAGAACUAAAAGGGCAAACAGAUUGAACCGGAUUAGGGUAUCAUUUUUAGGAGCGGCUGUUGCCGAGCCUCCGGCUCCCAUUCCUCUUGUUUGGCUAACUGCCAAACUGGUUUGGAUGGAGCAAUGACCACUGAAACAGGAAAAACUGGAGGCUUUAAAAGAAUUGGUGCAGGAACAAUUGCAAAAGGGACACGUAGAGCCUACUUUCUCUCCUUGGAAUUCUCCUGUGUUUGUUAUUAAGGAAAAUAUGUUAUGAAGGUAAAUGGAGAAUGUUUAACAGAUUUAAGGGCUGUUAAUGCUAUAAUUCAACCCAUGGGCAUGCUGACACCAGGGCUGCCCUCUCCAACUAUGAUUCCUAAAUACUGGCCUCUCAUAGUGAUAGAUAUAAAAGAUUGCUUCUUUACCAUUCCUUUAGUGAUCCAAGAUUAUGGAAAAUUAGCUUUUACUGUUCCCACUAUAAAUAACAAAAACCAGUGGAUAGAUACCAUUGGAAAAUAUUACCACAAGGCAUGUUAAAUAGCCUGACUAUUUGCCAAACUUAUGGCAGAAAAGCUAUUAAGCCAGUUAGAGAACAAUUUUUAAAAUGUUAUCCAUUGCAUGGAUGAUAUUCUGUGUGCAGCUGAAACUAGGGAGGAAUUAAUGCUAUGCUACAAACAGAAAAGGCUGUGACUGCAGCAGGAUUAAUCACAGCCCCCGAUAAAAUCCAAACUUCUACUGCCUUUCAAUAUUUAGGAAUGAAGGUAGAACAAAGUGCUAUUAAGCCUUAAAAGGUUCAAAUUUGAAGAGAUAAUUUAAAAACUUCAAAUGACUUUCAAAGAUUUUUAGGAGACAUUAAUUGGAUUCGUCCAACUUUAGGCAUUCCUACCUAUGCUAUGUCUCACAUUUUUUCUACCUUAUGAGGUGAUUCUAACUUAAACAGUAAAUGUGCCCUAUCCAAAGAGGCAUUAGAGGAACUUCAAUUAACUGAAGAAAAAAUUCAACAGGCACAAGUGAAGCAAACCCUAUGCAGCCAUUACAGUUUUUAGUUUUUCCUACUAAACAUUCACCUACAGGAAGUACUGUUCAACAAAAUGAUCUGGUUGAGUGGCUUUUUCUACCUCACAAUACAACUGAAAUGGUCACUCUGUACUUAGAUCAAAUUGCUGUACUAAUAGGACAAGCAAGGCUGCACACAACAAAGUUAAUAGGAUAUGAUCCAAAUCAAAUUAUAGUUCCAUUAAACAAACAACAAAUUCAGCAAGCUUACAUUAAUUCCCAGGAAUGGCAAGUUAAUUUGGCAGGGUUUUUGUUGGCAUUCUUGAUAAUCUUUAUACUAAAUCUAAGAUAUUUCAAUUUCCAAAAUUAACAUCCUGGAUAUCACUUUCUGUUACUCAAAAAGCCCCUAUUGAAGGGGCCAUUACUGUUUUUACUGACGAGUCUAGUAAUGGAAAAGCCUCACUUGUGGGACCUCAACAACAAGUUUUUCAAACUGACAUUGCUUCUGCUCAAAGGGCUGAACUUACAGCUGUAAUUACAGUACUGAAAACUUUUAAACAGCCAGUUAAUAUUGUUUCUGACUCAGCUUAUGUGGUGCAAGUCACACAAAAUAUUGAAAGUACUUAAUUCGUGAUGUGAUUGCUGAACAACUUAAUCUUUUAUUUCAUUCUUUACAACAAGCAGUACAACAAAGACAUUCCCCUUUCUAUAUUACUCAUAUAAAAGCACAUACUAACCUCCCUGGUCUUUUAACUAAACUUAAUCAAAGGGCAGAUGCACUGGUUUCUGCAGCUUUUGCUAAAUGACAAACAUUCCAUUCUUCAAUGCAUCUUAACGCUGCAGGCCUCAGAAAAAGAUAUGGCUUAUCCUGGAAGCAGGCUAAGGAGAUUGUAGAACACUGCUCUGCCUGUCAAGUCCUGCAUCUGCCACAUCAAGGAGCAGGAGUCAACUCUAGAGGUUUAUCUCCAAAUUCCAUGUGGCAGAUAGAUGUAACACACAUUCCCACUUUUGGAAAAUUGUUCUUUGUUCAUGUUUCAGUAGAUACUUAGUCACAUUUUAUCUGGGCCAUGUGUCAAACAGGGGAAGCUACAGCUCAUGUUAAAAGACGUCUUUUUUCUUGCUUUGCAGUUAUGGGAAUCCCAGAAAAAAUCAAAACUGAUAAUGGCCCAGGGUAUUGCAGGAAAGCCAUGGCUACAUUUUUUUUUAACACUGAAACAUUAUUCACACUACAGGUAUUCCAUAUAACUCACAAGGACAGGCAAUAGUUGAAAGAGCUAAUCAUACUUUAAAAACUCAAAUACAAAAAUAAAAAGAGAGAGAUCAGGAAUGUAAAACACCCCAUAUGCAAUUAUAUUUAGCUUUAUUAACAUUAAAUUUUUUUAAUUUACAAAGAGAUCAACCCAUGACAGCAGCUUAACAACACUUAACAGGACAAAAAGAAAAUAAAAAAGCUGGACAAGAUGUAUGGUGGAGGGAUGCACAUACAAAGAGUUGGGAAAAAAGAAAAAUAAUUACAUGGGGAAGAGGAUUUGCUUGUGUCUCUCCAGGUGACCAUCAGGUGCCUGUAUGGGUGCCCACCAAACAUCUGAAGAUCUAUCAUGACCCUCACCGGGAAGAGAGGACUCUAUGAAGAGCCAGAACUCCUGAUGCAAGUGAUAGCAUGAAUGAACUCUCAGAGACAAAGGAAAAGACCAAAAAUACUCCCAGGCAGAUCCUCCAACAUGGGGACAAAUCAAGAAACUGGUGCAGAUGGCAGAAGACAAUCUGAGAGCACAGAACAAACCAAAAACAACUAGUAACGUAACAGUGGCUAUGAUGGCAGUACUCACUGCGGCAGUAAGCCUCCCUACUUCUAUAGAUGCAGAAGCUGCCUCUGGAGAGAAAGCCGCCGCCAAGAACAAGCAACGAUAGCUGUGGCAGUUUUGCAGAACAAAAAAGGGAGACAUGUUGGUAGAAGGGCUGAGGCAGGGCUUGCUUGUCUGACAUAAUGUAGAAGAGCCUUGGAACAUAUCCUGGGUCCAGGGUCUAAAACCCUUUGUGGCCUAUGGAACACCAAGCUCUGUGCCAAAGAGUGGAAGACUGCCCUGCUGCACUACAAUCUAAGCCCAGUGCAUAAAACCCUUCGUGACUUGGAGAGCACCCAGGGCUCAGGGCAUAAAACCCAUCAUAGCCUCUGGAAAGUGUCCAGACUCGCUGGCCCCUUGCUUCUUGCUCUCCAAAGAUCAUAAACUGAUUGUAUCUUGAAUUAGAAGAAUCUGUUUUCCCUUAUCUCAAGUAGCAGAGCAUAUGCUAAACCGUCACAGCUACGCUUAAUGCACUGCUACCUUUCUACCCCCACAUCCUCACGUCCUCACCUGUCUACCCCCACGUCCACACCACCUGCUUCUUUGUUUGAUUACCAAUAAAUAGUGUGGGCUCCCAGAGCUCAGAGCCUUUGCAGCCUCCAUACUAGCAUUGGCCCCUUGGACCCACCCUACUACAUACUCUUGUCUCAUUCCUUUGACUCCGUUGGACUUCGUAGCCCCCACGAGCUGGUGUUGGGUUUGAUCACCCAAACAGAUUGUUGGAGGAAAUAACUUGUUUCUUUAGCUUCACAGGUCCACAAAUUAAAAGUGUGCCCCCAGGAGCUGCACUAAAUGAUUUGUAACAUCUGCACCUGAUUUAGAACAUUUAGAAGGAGCUGUUUCAGGACUCCUCCUCCCCCUCGCCCCAAUAACUUGAGUCUUUCCUAUGUCAUAAUAAAGCUACAUUUUCUUCUGAAAA